GGAUUAUUCAUUACUUCUUGAGAUGAUGGUCUGGCUUCUGACAGCUUUAUAGAUGGCUUAACAAAAAGAGCAGAUCAAUAUGCAGAAACAAUCUAAAAGGGACUAUCUGACCAGGAGAUCAUGGUCAGGUGCAUAGUAAUCUGCUGUUUGUUUGCAUCACUAAAUCAUUAUACAAAUACAUUAUGUUAGAUGUUCCUUCACGGACACAAAUAUUGUACUCAUAAGAAACCACAUUAUGAUCCAGACUUGCCCAUACAGCUGUGAUUCCUGCAGGAAGAAACCAGUUACUUGGUUUAGUUCAACCCCUUCCUGUCCAGGAUGAUUAACCCACUCUAUAUUUUCCUUUCUGCAUUUCACGAUUUAACACUACUCUUUUCUUCAACUGCCUCAACACUUUUGAAAAUUCAGAUGAGGGCAAGGACUACAUUGGGAGUGAAAUUCUGCUACAGAAAUGGGUAAUGUAAAGGUUUUUCAGUGCUGGAGUGAGAAUGAGUAGAAAGGAACAGAGUGCGAAGAGAAGAAUAAGAUAAAAAUGGAAAGCAGAAAUCCUGAGCUGGCCCCACUGAACAACGUGUUCAAACAGCUCUCACACCAACCUCAACUGAGAGAGUGGAUUUUAAAUAAAUAAAUAAAUAAAUAAAACAUUCUUUUUUAUGCUUUACUAUUUGCCACACUUGAGCGCACCUCUAAAAAAAGAUAAGUAAAAUAUUAAAAAGAUGUUUUAAAAGAAUAUAUAAAACCAGUGGAAGAAAGACAGGUAACCUUUGAUAAAAGGAACUUGUGAGAAGACACAUGGGAAUGUAAGAAAAAGUUGAACACAGAUGCUACAGUGGUAAAAAGAUGGAGUAGGAAGCUCAGUAAGCAACUGGGAGAGAACAGAGCCACAAAAUACACCAGCAAGAAUUAGCUUACUGGUUCUGAUGCCAAGGUGAAGAGGACAAAACCAAAAGAAAGACGUCUAAACAAUGUAAGAAGACAGUUUUUAUGUAAUAGAUAUUUGGCUGUAUAUUCUUCGAUCAAACAUGUUUGAUUAAAGUUAAUUUUAC
rnacentral:lncRNA from 7 species